UGUACUUAUAUCAAAACGCUAGCAACAAGACCAUCUGCAUAUCUGGACUGCUUACCACACUGAUUGCCUCCUGCUGUGUUCCUGUGUCACGGUUCUGAACUUUCACCGGACUGUGAGCUCAGGGCAGAAAAUAUUACGUGGAAUGACGCCUUCUCUACUAAACAAGAUGCUGACAACAGUGCUAUUCUGGCUGAAGUAGAGACGGUGGCUCACGGCCUGCCAGCUGCCUGUCCCUG